rnacentral:tRNA from 1 species
GGGCGCUUGGUCUAGGGGUAUGAUUUUCGCUUCGCAUACUAUUCACGUGCGUACUUGUGAAAGGUCGUGGGUUCAAUUCCCACAGCGUCCA